rnacentral:rRNA from 1 species
UACGUAGGUGGCAAGCGUUGUCCGGAUUUAUUGGGCGUAAAGCGAGCGCAGGCGGUCUUUUAAGUCUGAUGUGAAAGCCCCCGGCUUAACCGGGGAGGGUCAUUGGAAACUGGGAGACUUGAGUGCAGAAGAGGAAAGCGGAAUUCCAUGUGUAGCGGUGAAAUGCGUAGAUAUAUGGAGGAACACCAGUGGCGAAGGCGGCUUUCUGGUCUGUAACUGACGCUGAGGCUCGAAAGCGUGGGGAGCAAACAGGAUUAGAUACCCUGGUAGUCCACGCCGUAAACGAUGAGUGAUAAGUGUUGGAGGGUGUCAGACCUUCAGUGCUGCAGCAAACGCAUUAAGCAAUCCGCCUGGGGAGUACGACCGCAAGGUUGAA